UAUCAAAUGAACUUUAUCACGUUAAUACUUAGUGUACAUGUUUUAUAUGGGUACACCUAUAGAGAAUGCACAACUCGUUCUCGUCAGAUUCCAUUUUAAAAUGAUCCAUAAUCGGAAAUAUCGUCUAUAGGAAAGAUUAUUAAUGAUUGUCGAUAUGGAAAGUGUGUUAUCGAUAAUAUCCCAUAUCAGCUUUG